AUUGAACGCUGGCGGCAUGCUUUACACAUGCAAGUCGAACGGUAACAGGUUAAGCUGACGAGUGGCGAACGGGUGAGUAAUGCAUCGGAACGUGCCCGAUCGUGGGGGAUAACGCAGCGAAAGCUGCGCUAAUACCGCAUACGAUCUGAGGAUGAAAGCGGGGGACCGUAAGGCCUCGCGCGAUCGGAGCGGCCGAUGUCAGAUUAGGUAGUUGGUGGGGUAAAGGCCCACCAAGCCGACGAUCUGUAGAUGGUCUGAGAGGACGACCAGCCACACUGGGACCGAGACACGGCCCAGACUCCUACGGGAGGCAGCAGUGGGGAAUUUUUGACAAUGGGCGAAAGCCUGAUCCAGCAAUGCCGCGUGCAGGAAGAAGGCCUUCGGGUUGUAAACUGCUUUUGUACGGAGCGAAAAGGUCCUUUCUAAUACAGGGGGCUCAUGACGGUACCGCAAGAAUAAGCACCGGCUAACUACGUGCCAGCCGCCGCCGUAAGAC
rnacentral:rRNA from 1 species